rnacentral:rRNA from 1 species
ACUCCUACGGGAGGCAGCAGUAGGGAAUCUUCCACAAUGGACGAAAGUCUGAUGGAGCAACGCCGCGUGAGUGAAGAAGGGUUUCGGCUCGUAAAACUCUGUUGUUAAAGAAGAACAUAUCUGAGAGUAACUGUUCAGGUAUUGACGGUAUUUAACCAGAAAGCCACGGCUAACUACGUGCCAGCAGCCGCGGUAAUACGUAGGUGGCAAGCGUUGUCCGGAUUUAUUGGGGCGUAAAGCGAGCGCAGGCGGUUUUUAAAGUCUGAUGUGAAAGCCUUCGGCUCAACCGAAGAAGUGCAUCGGAAACUGGGAAACUUGAGUGCAGAAGAGGACAGUGGAACUCCAUGUGUAGCGGUGAAAUGCGUAGAUAUAUGGAAGAACACCAGUGGCGAAGGCGGCUGUCUGGUCUGUAACUGACGCUGAGGCUCGAAAGUAUGGGUAGC